rnacentral:tRNA from 1 species
GUCCCCAUCGUCUAGCCCGGCCAAGGACACUGGCCUUUCACGCCAGUAACACCGGUUCAAAUCCGGUUGGGGACGCCA